rnacentral:rRNA from 1 species
GCCCAGACUCCUACGGGAGGCAGCAGUGGGGAAUAUUGCACAAUGGGGGAAACCCUGAUGCAGCGACGCCGCGUGAGUGAAGAAGUAUUUCGGUAUGUAAAGCUCUAUCAGCAGGGAAGAAAAUGACGGUACCUGACUAAUAAGCCCCGGCUAACUACGUGCCAGCAGCCGCGGUAAUACGUAGGGGGCAAGCGUUAUCCGGAUUUACUGGGUGUAAAGGGAGCGUAGACGGCAUGGCAAGUCAGAUGUGAAAGCCCAGGGCUCAACCCCGGGACUGCAUUUGAAACUGUCAGGCUGGAGUGCAGGAGAGGUAAGUGGAAUUCCUAGUGUAGCGGUGAAAUGCGUAGAUAUUAGGAGGAACACCAGUGGCGAAGGCGGCUUACUGGACUGUAACUGACGUUGAGGCUCGAAAGCGUGGGGAGCAAACAGGAUUAGAUACCCUUGUA